GUGGGGAAUAUUGGACAAUGGGCGAAAGCCUGAUCCAGCCAUGCCGCGUGUGUGAAGAAGGUCUUCGGAUUGUAAAGCACUUUAAGUUGGGAGGAAGGGCAGUAAGUUAAUACCUUGCUGUUUUGACGUUACCGACAGAAUAAGCACCGGCUAACUUCGUGCCAGCAGCCGCGGUAAUACGAGGGGUGCAAGCGUUAAUCGGAAUUACUGGGCGUAAAGCGCGCGUAGGUGGUUUUGUAAGUUGGAGGUGAAAUCCCCGGGCUCAACCUGGGAACUGCCUCCAAAACUGCAUGACUAGAGUACGGUAGAGGGUAGUGGAAUUUCCUGUGUAGCGGUGAAAUGCGUAGAUAUAGGAAGGAACACCAGUGGCGAAGGCGACUACCUGGACUGAUACUGACACUGAGGUGCGAAAGCGUGGGGAGCAAACAGGAUUAGGAACCCCAGUAGUCC
rnacentral:rRNA from 1 species